GAGUCUGUUUGGUGCUACAGUUCUUUGGACAGUCUGCACGGCGUCCCGGAGAGAACUCGAUGUUUCCUUCUCUCAUGCUCUCACACGCUGCGGCACCGUCAUGCGGGAUGAGUCCGGGUGGAGUGAGAUUCGCACCCUGUGGAGUUACGGAAAAACAUCUUCGAAACCCUCCUGCACUCACAUAUGUAGAGGACAAAGUACUCAGUUCUUGGGCUGUUCUUUCUUCCCGUCUUCCUGGGGAAACUACCCGUGUACUCAGUGUUGGCGGCACGUCCCUUUACCUGCUGAGCCACCUUGCUGGCCUUUUAUUAAUUUUUUUUUUUUGAAACAAGAUAUCACCUUUAUAGUUUCA
rnacentral:lncRNA from 1 species